UACGGAGGGUGCGAGCGUUGUCCGGAAUCACUGGGCGUAAAGGCGCGUAGGCGGCCUGAUAAGUAGGGGGUGAAAUCCUGCGGCUUAACCGCAGGGCUGCCUUCUAAACUGUCAGGCUUGAGCACAGUAGAGGCAGGCGGAAUUCCGGGUGGAGUGGUGAAAUGCGUAGAGAUCCGGAGGAACACCAGAGGCGAAGGCGGCCUGCUGGGCUGCACCUGACGCUGAGCCGCGAAAGCGUGGGGAGCGAACAGG
rnacentral:rRNA from 1 species